GUAGGGGGUUUUCUCGAUUGUUA
rnacentral:piRNA from 1 species